UAGGGAAUAUUGGACAAUGGGGGCAACCCUGAUCCAGCGACGCCGCGUGAGUGACGAAGGCCUUCGGGUCGUAAAGCUCUGUUGCAAGGGAAAAACAAAAUGAUGGUACCUUGCUAGAAAGGAUCGGCUAACUUCGUGCCAGCAGCCGCGGUAAGACGAGGGAUCCUAGCGUUGUUCGGAAUUAUUGGGCGUAAAGCGGGUGCAGGUGGCUUGGUAAGUCAGAUGUGAAAGCCUGGGGCUUAACCCCAGAAGUGCAUUUGAUACUGCUGAGCUUGAGUGCUGGAGAGGCUAUUAGAAUUCCUGGUGUAGUGGUGAAAUACGUAGAUAUCAGGAGGAAUACCGGAGGCGAAGGCGGAUAGCUGGCCAGACACUGACACUCAGACCCGAAAGCGUGGGGAUC
rnacentral:rRNA from 1 species